rnacentral:lncRNA from 1 species
AUUUGGUUAAAACCAGUAUCGCAUGUAAGUACUCGCCAGUCGAGAGUAAUCACUGAUCGACAAAGAAGUCAAAUCUAGUCCACAAAAGUUGAGUGUGAAUCCAAAAGGAAGAUAUUCAUCCACGUUUGAGGAGAAAGAAGAAGAAAAUGGUUCGAAGAUGUCAACCGCGAAAGAUCAGAUCUAGGCCAAGGACACGGCCGCGCCGACUCCAAUCAAGACAGCCUGGGAUCAGGCGUGAUCAUGUGGCAAUGUCCUUGGUCUUGAUUGGAUAUGCAGCUGCCAGACGAUUGUAGAGAUUAUCAGUGUUCAUUACGGCCAGAGUGUAAAUAAAGUUCAGAAUAUGGUGUACAUUAGAAUACUGUUCUCUCAAAAUUAAAACUGUCUGUCUUUU